rnacentral:rRNA from 1 species
AUGAACGCUAGCUACAGGCUUAACACAUGCAAGUCGAGGGGCAUCAGGAAGAAAGCUUGCUUUCUUUGCUGGCGACCGGCGCACGGGUGAGUAACACGUAUCCAACCUGCCCUUUACUCGGGGAUAGCCUUUCGAAAGAAAGAUUAAUACCCGAUAGUAUAAUGAUUCCGCAUGGUUUGAUUAUUAAAGGAUUCCGGUAAAGGAUGGGGAUGCGUUCCAUUAGGUUGUUGGUGAGGUAACGGCUCACCAAGCCUUCGAUGGAUAGGGGUUCUGAGAGGAAGGUCCCCCACAUUGGAACUGAGACACGGUCCAAACUCCUACGGGAGGCAGCAGUGAGGAAUAUUGGUCAAUGGGCGAUGGCCUGAACCAGCCAAGUAGCGUGAAGGAUGACUGCCCUAUGGGUUGUAAACUUCUUUUAUAUUAGAAUAAAGUGCAGUAUGUAUACUGUUUUGUAUGUAUAAUAUGAAUAAGGAUCGGCUAACUCCGUGCCAGCAGCCGCGGUAAUACGGAGGAUCCGAGCGUUAUCCGGAUUUAUUGGGUUUAAAGGGAGCGUAGGUGGACUGGUAAGUCAGUUGUGAAAGUUUGCGGCUCAACCGUAAAAUUGCAGUUGAUACUGUCAGUCUUGAGUACAGUAGAGGUGGGCGGAAUUCGUGGUGUAGCGGUGAAAUGCUUAGAUAUCACGAAGAACUCCGAUUGCGAAGGCAGCUCACUGGACUGCAACUGACACUGAUGCUCGAAAGUGUGGGUAUCAAACAGGAUUAGAUACCCUGGUAGUCCACACAGUAAACGAUGAAUACUCGCUGUUUGCGAUAUACAGUAAGCGGCCAAGCGAAAGCAUUAAGUAUUCCACCUGGGGAGUACGCCGGCAACGGUGAAACUCAAAGGAAUUGACGGGGGCCCGCACAAGCGGAGGAACAUGUGGUUUAAUUCGAUGAUACGCGAGGAACCUUACCCGGGCUUAAAUUGCAGUGGAAUGAUGUGGAAACAUGUCAGUGAGCAAUCACCGCUGUGAAGGUGCUGCAUGGUUGUCGUCAGCUCGUGCCGUGAGGUGUCGGCUUAAGUGCCAUAACGAGCGCAACCCUUAUCUUUAGUUACUAACAGGUCAUGCUGAGGACUCUAGAGAGACUGCCGUCGUAAGAUGUGAGGAAGGUGGGGAUGACGUCAAAUCAGCACGGCCCUUACGUCCGGGGCUACACACGUGUUACAAUGGGGGGUACAGAAGGCAGCUACCUGGUGACAGGAUGCUAAUCCCAAAAGCCUCUCUCAGUUCGGAUCGAAGUCUGCAACCCGACUUCGUGAAGCUGGAUUCGCUAGUAAUCGCGCAUCAGCCACGGCGCGGUGAGUACGUUCCCGGGCCUUGUACACACCGCCCGUCAAGCCAUGGGAGCCGGGGGUACCUGAAGUACGUAACCGCAAGGAGCGUCCUAGGGUAAAACUGGUGACUGGGGCU